CAAACCAUAUAUUUUAAAAAACAUAGACAACCCAGGGUAUUAAAUAUGGGGUAUGUCCAGUCUUUUUAGUAGCCACUUAGUCACAAACACUGGCCAAAAUUUGCAUUUAUAUUUGUUUGUGUGUUAAAAAUGCAAAAACAACAAUUAUGAACGCUAAUUUUGGCCAGUGUUUGUGACUAAGUGGCUACUAAAAAAGACUGAACAUACCCCAUUUGCAAUACCUUGGGUUGUGUUCUUUUGCAAAUGGUAUG